UACGGAGGGUGCAAGCGUUGUUCGGAAUUAUUGGGCGUAAAGAGCAUGUAGGCGGUUUGGUAAGUUGGAAGUGAAAGCCCAGGGCUCAACCUUGGAAUUGCUUUCAAAACUGCCUUACUAGAGUAUGGUAGGGGACAGUGGAAUUCUUAGUGUAGGGGUGAAAUCCGUAGAUAUUAAGAGGAACACCAGAGGCGAAGGCGACUGUCUGGGCCACUACUGACGCUAAGAUGCGAAAGCGUGGGGAGCAAACGGG
rnacentral:rRNA from 1 species